rnacentral:rRNA from 1 species
GACGAACCGUGCGAACGUUGUUCGGAAUCACUGGGCAUAAAGGGCGCGUAGGCGGCUUUUCAAGUCAGGGGUGAAAUCCGGCAGCUCAACUGUCGAAGUGCCCUUGAUACUGAUGAGCUCGAGGGAGGUAGGGGUGUGUGGAACUUCCGGUGGAGCGGUGAAAUGCGUUGAUAUCGGAAGGAACGCCGGUGGCGAAAGCGGCACACUGGGUCUUAACUGACGCUGAGGCACGAAAGCCAGGGGAGCGAACGGG